UUACGGCUAUAUCACGUUCAAACAUUGGUUCUCGUACGAUCACCGAAGUUAAGCAACGUCGAGCCUGGUCAGUAAUUUAGACAGGUGACAGCUUGGGAAUACCAGGUGCUGAAA